UGAAGAGACUGCAAGACUUGAGAUCGGGUGAGGUUAAACGUACUUUCAGGGUACGGGUAAAAUCCUGUAGUCCCGGAAGGACGACCAGUGGCGAAAGCGUUUAACUAGAACGAAUCUGACGGUAAGGAACGAAGGCUAGGGUAGCAAACCGGAUUAGAUACCCGGGUAGUCCUAGCUGUAAACAUUGCCCAUUUGAUGUUGCUUUCCCGUUGAGGGAAGGCAGUGUCGGAGCGAAGGUGUUAAAUGGGCCGCUUGGGAAGUAUGGUCGCAAGACUGAAACUUAAAGGAAUUGGCGGGGGAGCACCGCAACGGGAGGAAUGUGCGGUUUAAUUGGAUUCAACGCCGGAAAACUCACCGGGAACGACCUGUGCAUGAGAGUCAACUUGACGAGCUUACUCGAUAGCAGGAGAGGUGGUGCAUGGCCGUCGUCAGCUCGUACCGUAGGGCGUUCACUUUAGUGUGAUAACGAGCGAGACCCACAUCUUUAAUUGCAAAUGUAUAUGGGAAUAUGCGUGC
rnacentral:rRNA from 1 species